rnacentral:rRNA from 1 species
GAUGAACGCUGGCGGCGUGCCUAAUACAUGCAAGUCGAGCGAACAGACGAGGAGCUUGCUCCUCUGACGUUAGCGGCGGACGGGUGAGUAACACGUGGAUAACCUACCUAUAAGACUGGGAUAACUUCGGGAAACCGGAGCUAAUACCGGAUAAUAUAUUGAACCGCAUGGUUCAAUAGUGAAAGACGGUUUUGCUGUCACUUAUAGAUGGAUCCGCGCCGCAUUAGCUAGUUGGUAAGGUAACGGCUUACCAAGGCAACGAUGCGUAGCCGACCUGAGAGGGUGAUCGGCCACACUGGAACUGAGACAGGUCCAGACUCCUACGGGAGGCAGCAGUAGGGAAUCUUCCGCAAUGGGCGAAAGCUUGACGGAGCAACGCCGCGUGAGUGAUGAAGGUCUUCGGAUCGUAAAACUCUGUUAUUAGGGAAGAACAAAUGUGUAAGUAACUAUGCACGUCUUGACGGUACCUAAUCAGAAAGCCACGGCUAACUACGUG